UACAGAGGUCCCAAGCGUUGUUCGGAUUCACUGGGCGUAAAGGGUGCGUAGGUGGUUAGGUAAGUCCGAUGUGAAAUCUCCAGGCUCAACCUGGAAAUGGCAUUGGAUACUAUCUAGCUUGAGGAGUGGAGGGGGGACUGGAAUUCUCGGUGUAGCAGUGAAAUGCGUAGAUAUCGAGAGGAACACCAGUGGCGAAGGCGAGUCCCUGGACACUUCCUGACACUGGAGGCACGAAAGCUAGGGGAGCAAACAGG
rnacentral:rRNA from 1 species